UAGAUAUAUGGAAGAACACCAGUGGCGAAGGCGGCUGUCUAGUCUGUAACUGACGCUGAGGCUCGAAAGCAUGGGUAGCGAACAGGAUUAGAUACCCUGGUAGUCCAUGCCGUAAACGAUGAGUGCUAAGUGUUGGAGGGUUUCCCCCUUCAGUGCUGCAGCUAACGCAUUAAGCACUCCGCCUGGGGAGUACGACCGCAAGGUUGAAACUCAAAGGAAUUGACGGGGGCCCGCACAAGCGGUGGAGCAUGUGGUUUAAUUCGAAGCUACGCGAAGAACCUUACCAGGUCUUGACAUCUUCUGCCAAUCUUAGAGAUAAGACGUUCCCUUCGGGGACAGAAUGACAGGUGGUGCAUGGUUGUCGUCAGCUCGUGUCGUGAGAUGUUGGGUUAAGUCCCGCAACGAGCGCAACCCUUAUUAUCAGUUGCCAGCAUUCAGUUGGGCACUCUGGUGAGACUGCCGGUGACAAACCGGAGGAAGGUGGGGAUGACGUCAAAUCAUCAUGCCCCUUAUGACCUGGGCUACACACGUGCUACAAUGGACGGUACAACGAGUCGCGAAGUCGUGAGGCUAAGCUAAUCUCUUAAAGCCGUUCUCAGUUCGGAUUGUAGGCUGCAACUCGCCUACAUGAAGUUGGAAUCGCUAGUAAUCGCGGAUCAGCAUGCCGCGGUGAAUACGUUCCCGGGCCUUGUACACACCGCCCGUCACACCAUGAGAGUUUGUAACACCCAAAGCCGGUGAGAUAACCUUCGGGAGUCAGCCGUCUAAGGUGGGACAGAUGAUUAGGGUGAAGUCGUAACAAGGUAACCAAGGGCGAAUCG
rnacentral:rRNA from 1 species